rnacentral:rRNA from 1 species
GACGAACGCUGGCGGCGUGCUUAACACAUGCAAGUCGAACGGAAAGGCCCAGCUUGCUGGGUACUCGAGUGGCGAACGGGUGAGCAACACGUGGGUGAUCUGCCCUGCACUCUGGGAUAAGCCUGGGAAACUGGGUCUAAUACCGGAUAUGACCAACUGUCGCAUGGUGGUUGGUGGAAAGCUUUUGCGGUGUGGGAUGGGCCCGCGGCCUAUCAGCUUGUUGGUGGGGUAAUGGCCUAACAAGGCGACGACGGGUAGCCGACCUGAGAGGGUGAUCGGCCACACUGGGUCUGAGAGACGGCCCAGACUCCGAAGGGAGGGAGGGGUGGGGAAUAAUGCACAAUGGGCGCAAGCCUGAUUCGGCGACGCCGCGUGGGGGAUGACGGCCUUCGGUUUGUAAACCUCUUUCACCAGGGACGAAGCGGAAGUGACGGUACCUGGAGAAGAAGCACCGGCCAACUACGUGCCAGCCGCCGCAGUAACAC